rnacentral:rRNA from 1 species
GUAGCACAAUCACUUGUCCCUUAGAUGGGGACGCGUAUGAAAGGCAACAUGAGAGAGAACCUGUCUCCUAAGGAAUGCCAAUGAAAUUGAACUGCCAGUUCAAAAGCUGGUAUAAAAAAGCAAGACAAAAAGACCCUGUGGAACUUUAAUUAACUGCUUUACAUAAUAAAACCAGUAAUUUCAGUUGGGACAACUUUAGAAAAAAUAAACUUCCUAAUUUUACUAGACUAACUAGUCCAAAACAACCAUGACCCAGUAGUACUGAUUAACGAAACAAGCUACCCCAGGGAUAACAGCGCUACCUUCUCAAAGAGUUCAUAUCAACAAGAAGAUCUACGACCUCGAUGUUGGAUCAGGGUACCCAGACGGUGCAGCAGCUGUCAAUGGUUCGUUUGUUCAACGAUUAAUACCCU